UAGAUUACUUCGGUAAUUGAGACCGGCGCACGGGUGCGUAACGCGUAUACAAUCUACCUUUUACAGAGGGAUAGCCCAGAGAAAUUUGGAUUAAUACCUCAUAGUAUUUUUGAAUCGCAUGAUUUGAUUAUUAAAGUUCCAACGGUAAAAGAUGAGUAUGCGUCCCAUUAGCUAGAUGGUAAGGUAACGGUUUACCAUGGCUACGAUGGGUAGGGGUCCUGAGAGGGAGAUCCCCCACACUGGUACUGAGACACGGACCAGACUCCUACGGGAGGCAGCAGUGAGGAAUAUUGGACAAUGGGCGCAAGCCUGAUCCAGCCAUGCCGCGUGCAGGAAGAAGGUCCUAUGGAUUGUAAACUGCUUUUAUACAGGAAGAAACACCUCUACGUGUAGAGACUUGACGGUACUGUAUGAAUAAGGACCGGCUAACUCCGUGCCAGCAGCCGCGGUAAUACGGAGGGUCCAAGCGUUAUCCGGAAUCAUUGGGUUUAAAGGGUCCGUAGGCGGUUUAAUAAGUCAGUGGUGAAAGCCCAUCGCUCAACGAUGGAACGGCCAUUGAUACUGUUAAACUUGAAUUAUUAGGAAGUACCUACAAUAUGUAGUGUAGCGGUGAAAUGCUUACAGAUUACAUGGAAUACCAAUUGCGAAGGCAGGUUACUACUAAU
rnacentral:rRNA from 1 species